rnacentral:rRNA from 1 species
GACGAACGCUGGCGGCGUGCUUAACACAUGCAAGUCGAACGGUAAGGCCCUUCGGGGUACACGAGUGGCGAACGGGUGAGUAACACGUGGGUGAUCCGCCCUGCACUUCGGGAUAAGCCUGGGAAACUGGGUCUAAUACCGGAUAGGACCACUGCCUGCAUGGGUGGUGGUGGAAAGCUUUUGCGGUGUGGGAUGGGCCCGCGGCCUAUCAGCUUGUUGGUGGGGUGAUGGCCUACCAAGGCGACGACGGGUAGCCGGCCUGAGAGGGUGACCGGCCAAACUGGGCCUGAGAUACGGCCCAGACUCCUACGGGAGGCAGCAGUGGGGAAUAUUGCACAAUGGGCGCAAGCCUGAUGCAGCGACGCCGCGUGAGGGAUGACGGCCUUCGGGUUGUAAACCUCCUUCAGCACCGACGAAGCGCAAGUGACGGUGGGUGCAGAAGAAGGACCGGCCAACUACGUGCCAGCCGCCGCGGUAACAC